GAUUAACGCUGGCGGCGUGCAUAACACAUGCAAGUCGAACGAUGAAACUUAACUGAUUUCUUCGGCAUGAUUUUCAGUGGAUUAGUGGCGGACGGGUGAGUAACGCGUGAGUAACCUGCCUUGGAGAAGGGGAUAGCCUUUGGACACGAAGAAUAAUACCCUAUGAUAUGAUACUAUCUCAUGAUAUUAUCAUCAAAGAUUUAUCGCUCUAAGAUGGACUUGCGUCUGAUUAGUUAGUUGGUGAGGUAACAGCUCACCAAGGCAGCGAUCAGUAGCCGGCUGGGGAGCGGGUACGGCCACAUUGGGACUGAGACCCGGCCCAGACUCCUACGGGAGGCAGCAGUGGGGAAUUUUGCACAAUGGGGGAAACCCUGAUGCAGCGACGCCGCGUGAUUUAGAAGGCGUUCGGGUUGUAAAAAUCUUUUGUACGGGAAGAAAAUGACAGUACCAUACGAAUAAGGACCGGCUAAUUACGUG
rnacentral:rRNA from 1 species